UGGGGAAUUUUCCGCAAUGGGCGAAAGCCUGACGGAGCAAUGCCGCGUGGAGGUAGAAGGCCUACGGGUCGUGAACUUCUUUUCCCGGAGAAGAAGCAAUGACGGUAU
rnacentral:rRNA from 1 species